rnacentral:rRNA from 1 species
UCAAGUUAUCAAGAGCGCAUGGCGAAUGCCUAGGCGCCGGAAGCCGAUGAAGGACGGGGUAAGCACCGAAAUGCCACGGGGAGCCGCAAGCAGGUUUCGAUCCGUGGAUAUCCGAAUGGGGAAACCUACCACUUUUAAUAGGGUGGUAUCCUUAUCUGAACACAUAGGAUAAGGAAGGGAACCGGGGGAACUGAAACAUCUAAGUAUCCCGAGGAAAAGAAAUCAAGAGAGAUUCCCUAAGUAGCGGCGAGCGAACGGGGAGGAGCCUAAACUGGUAAAAUGCAGAAGCCCGCAAGCGUUGUUUUACCGGAGUUGCACGAGUUACAAGAGGGAUUUGCGGUACCUCAGCAAGACACUUUAUCUUUAGUCGAAUGUUCUGGAAAGAACAACCAUAGCAAGUGAUAGUCUUGUAGACGAAAAGGAUAAAUGCUUGGGUGACUUCGUAAGUACUACGAGACACGAGAAAUCUCGCAGGAAUCUGGGAAGACCACUUUCCAAGGCUAAAUACUUUUCCGGCGACCGAUAGAGAACAGUACCGUGAGGGAAAGGUGAAAAGCACCCCGGAAGGGGAGUGAAAUAGAACCUGAAACCAUGCGCUUACAAACAGUCGAAGGACGUUAAAAGUCUGACGGCGUACUUUUUGUAGAACGGACCGGCGAGUUAUGUUAACUAGCAAGGUUAAGCAUGUAAGAUGCCAAGCCGCAGGGAAACCGAGUCUUAAUAGGGCGAAAUAGUUAGUUAAUGUAGACCCGAAACCGAGUGAUCUAUCCAUGGCCAGGGUGAAGCUAAGUUAACCCUUAGUGGAGGCCCGAACCCACUGACGUUGAAAAGUCACGGGAUGAGUUGUGGAUAGGGGUGAAAAGCCAAUCGAACUCGGAGAUAGCUGGUUCUCCUCGAAAUAGCUUUAGGGCUAGCCUCAAGGUAAGAAUUAUGGAGGUAGAGCACUGAUUGAGCUAGGGGCCCUGCAAGGUUACCGAACUUUGUCAAACUCCAAAUGCCAUAAUUUAUCCUUGGGAGUCAGACUAUGUGGGAUAAGCUUCAUAGUCGAAAGGGAAACAGCCCAGACCGACAGCUAAGGUCCCCAAGUACGAACUAAGUGGAAAAGGAUGUGGAAUUGCACAGACAACCAGGAUGUUGGCUUAGAAGCAGCCACUCAUUUAAAGAGUGCGUAAUAGCUCACUGGUCAAGUGGUUUUGCGCCGAAAAUGUAACGGGGCUAAGUUCGUCACCGAAGCUUCGGAAUUGUUGAUUAUUCUUUGCUUACCCUUUUAGAUUUAGUAUGACAGGCGAUACAUUUCGCCGAAAUCAACGAAUGUAAUUUUCUAAUUGGAAGAUUUUGGCUAAAUCACAUUUGCUAAGUUUCUACUAAAGCUAUAAGGGUAAGAAUAAUCAAUGAUUGGUAGAGGAGCGUUCCAAUUGCACAGAAGGUCGAUCGUAAGGACGGCUGGAGCGAUUGGAAGUGAGAAUGCCGGUAUGAGUAGCGAUAAGAAGGGUGAGAAUCCCUUCCGCCGCAAGCCUAAGGAUUCCUGAGGAAGGUUCGUCCGCUCAGGGUAAGUCGGGACCUAAGACGAGGUCGAAAGGCGUAGUCGAUGGACAACAGGUUGAUAUUCCUGUACCACCAAACAUCGCUAUCAGUGAUGUGGGGACACAGGAGGGUAGGUUAUCACACUGAUGGAAUAGUGUGUCUAAGCGAGUAGGAAGCAGGGCAGGUAAAUCCGCUCUGCACAAAUUCCGAGACGUUAUGGGGAGAGCGCUUUAGCUCGAACUAACUGAACCCACACUGUCAAGAAAAUCCACUAACGAGAUGUGCGGUGCCCGUACCGCAAACCGACACAGGUAGGCGAGGAGAGAAUCCUAAGGCGCGCGAGAGAACCCCUGUUAAGGAACUCGGCAAAAUGACUCCGUAACUUUGGGAGAAGGAGUGCCUCAGUAGUGUGAAAUAAGAAACAGAUGGAGCACGAAGAGGUCUCAGAAACCAGGCCCAAGCGACUGUUUAGCAAAAACACAGGUCUCUGCUAAGUGGAAACACGAAGUAUAGGGGCUGACGCCUGCCCAAUGCCGGAAGGUUAAGGGGAAAGGUUAGCCGUUAAGGCGAAGCUUUGAACUUAAGCCCCGGUCAAUGGCGGCCGUAACUAUAACGGUCCUAAGGUAGCGAAAUUCCUUGUCGGGUAAGUUCCGACCUGCACGAAAGGCGUAACGACUUGGG